UACGAAGGUCCCAAGCGUUAUCCGGAUUUAUUGGGUUUAAAGGGUGCGUAGGCGGCUUAUUAAGUCAGUGGGGAAAGCUCCAUGCUUAACGUGGAAAUUGCCAUUGAUACUGAUGAGCUUGAGUAUAUUUGAAGUGGGCGGAAUGUGUCGUGUAGCGGUGAAAUGCUUAGAUAUGACACAGAACACCGAUUGCGUAGGCAGCUCACUAAACUAUAACUGACGCUGAGGCACGAAAGCAUGGGGAUCAAACAGG
rnacentral:rRNA from 1 species